UCCUUUGUCUUUACCCCCAGGUUUCGGUCUGCCGCCUGGUUAUUUAUUUAUUUCCUUGUCGUUUUGUGGAUAUAUUUUUAUAUAUCCAUCAUUUUCCUCGGUUGUUGAAUGACAGUCGGCUCUGACACAUAUAUGCCUAAAAGCAAAACGCCAAAAAUGGAUGACCUGGACUACAUCCCAGCAGAUCUUAGCCCUGAGGAGCGCUCUGAGCUAGAGGAGAUCCGCCGCAGGAAGGGAGCUCUGCUGCAGGAGAUCCAGAGGCUGCGAGAGGAGCUCAGGGAGGCCAUCAUCGAGGUGGAGGGGCUAGAGGCGAGCACAGAGGGCAGCAAAACACUACAGAAGAGUCGGCAUGUGGCGAUGGGUCGGAAGAAGUUCAACAUGGACCCUAAGAAAGGCAUUGUUUUUCUUGUGGACAAUGAGCUGCUAAGACACACACAAGAAGACAUUGCUCAGUUCCUGUACAAAGGCGAAGGCUUAAACAAAACUGCCAUUGGAGACUACCUGGGUGAAAGAGAUGACUUCAACAUUAAAGUCCUGCAGGCGUUCGUUGACCUCCAUGAGUUCACUGACCUCAACCUGGUGCAGGCUCUCAGACAGUUCCUGUGGAGUUUCCGGUUGCCAGGGGAGGCGCAGAAGAUUGACAGAAUGAUGGAGGCCUUCGCUCAGAGAUACUGUCACUGCAAUCCGGGAGUGUUCCAAAGCACAGACACCUGCUACGUGCUGUCGUUCGCCAUCAUCAUGCUGAACACCAGCCUGCACAACCCCAACGUGCGGGACAAGCCCGGCGUGGAACGUUUCAUCUCCAUGAACCGCGGCAUCAACGAGGGUGGAGACCUGCCCGAGGACCUGCUGCGGAACCUGUACGAGAGCAUCAAGAACGAGCCGUUCAAGAUCCCUGAGGAUGAUGGCAACGACCUGACACACACCUUCUUCAACCCCGACAGAGAGGGCUGGCUCCUCAAACUGGGAGGUGGACGAGUGAAGACUUGGAAGAGACGAUGGUUUAUCCUGACCGAUAACUGCCUCUAUUACUUUGAGUACACAACGGACAAGGAGCCCAGAGGCAUUAUCCCCCUGGAGAAUCUGAGUAUUCGGGAAGUGGAGGACCCCAGAAAACCGAACUGUUUCGAGCUGUACAUCCCCAACAACCGGGGCCAGCUGAUCAAGGCGUGUAAGACGGAGGCCGAUGGGCGAGUUGUGGAGGGGAAUCACAUGGUCUACCGAAUCUCCGCCCCCACGCCAGAGGAGAAGGACGAGUGGAUACACGCCAUCAAUUCUGCUGUGAGUGUGGACCCUUUCUAUGAGAUGCUAGCUGCCAGGAAGAAGCGCAUCUCUUUAAAGAAAAAAGAAGAGCAGCCGUAGAGCCUCCCCCCCCCGUCCAUCCCAUUCCAGAACACUCUAAAAAGACUCCAUCCAUUCCACCCACCCAUCCUCCGCCGCUCCGCCCAUGUCACCCUGACGACUUCUCCUUCCUGUCCGUCAAGCAUGGAGAGUCUGGAGGGAGCCGGGUCAGGGUAUCAGCCCUUCGCACGGCCUCUAUGCUUCCUGAAGGUCACACACACACACACACACACACACACACACACACACACACACACACACACACACACACACACACACACACACACACACACAAACCGCUGCUGAUUCGGAACCGGGCUCGAUAUCAUUCGGUUUCAUUUUCAGCUGCUGUUUGGGGACUUGUCUCAUUCCAUACUCACCCACCCGCCUCCACUACGUCGUCAGUCUGACGAUUGCUGCUUGGACUCGAGCCUUUCUCCUGCUAAUUCAGCAUUAACCUAUACAUACUACAGCCCUCUACAUCCUAUACAACCUAUACCCUCACUCACUAUACUUCACACAAUCAUAUAUGCUACUGCUUCACGUACACUACUUUCAUAAGCUACACGUACACAUGGCUAUCACCUCUAGGCACUGUCUGAGAUGGCCUCUGACAAACACUACUGUCUCCUUUUUACUGAAUAGUACUGUCUAUUUAUUGCAGGAGUAGCAAUUUACACUCACACUACGCUCAUUUCUUGUUAAUCUGACUGCUGUAACUUUCUUUUCCUGUCUUAAGCUUACUAUGUCCUUCCUGGCAUUAACGAUGCUCCGCAAGCUUUACGGUUGUAGCAGGGGGACCAGGGGACAUCAGAAAAGCUUUUACGAUGCUGGACAUGGUGUGGAAGUGGGCAGUGACUAUGAAAAUUUAGGCAGGGUGGGGCGUUAUUCCAAAUGCCUCCCCAGUGAAGCCAGAGUUUAAUUUUGGAGUCUCUAGAAAUAAAUUUGAAGGGGGUUUUCGGUUGGUAUCUCGGCCGUAAAUGGCAGUUUGUUUCCAUUGUAGCUCAGAAUAGAGCGAGGGGGAGGGAAUGCACACUGCCAAAAACAUCUUAGUCUGCGAAGGAUCAAACGGCAUUCCAGUGACCUCACUUCCUGUUUGAAAUAACAGGAAAUCAGCAGCGGUGCGGUGCGAUAGCGAUACGAUGACAACUCUUUGAAUAGACAUUUUUCCGUGAGUGCGGUAGGCAGAAAAACAAAAGGAGGCACCCUGUGCCCCCUCCUUCCCUCCCUCCUAGCCAACCGAAAACGGAACACAAACAGAACGCAGAACACUGGCCUGUUUAGUCAUGGUCCAGUUAAGGGAAGUCCAUGGUGGACCCCCCCCCCCCCAACUGAACAAAACCCAAGCUGAUCCUGACCCUUCCUCUGAUCCUGCUGUCUGUCCUCUAGACUGAGCCGUACCUGCGCCAGCUAAGCGCCAGAUGCGACCCAGCCUUUGCUUCUCUCUUGGCACCUGGUCUCCCUGCUAACCCUCCACACAUUUAAGUUUAACCCUCAAAAGCCCAUCCAGACAAUACACUGGGGGCUGGAAGACGUAUCAGUGGCAGCUUAUACAUUUUUUUUUUUGUUUUGUUGACCUUUUGUUGUACAUAGACUUUUUAGAAUGUUUUAUUUUACAUCAUAGAGAGGUUUAAUUUAUUGUUUUAUUCGUUGUUUUUUAUAUUUAUAUAUAAAAUGAGUUAGGGAUGCAUGUUGAAGUAAAUCAAAGCAUCUUCCAUAGGGACAAGUUUUGUAUGUUAGUAAUGGGUAUAUGUAGGAGAAGCAUUAGUGAUCCGUGUUUUAAGUCAUUCAACAAAAAUUGGCUUUGAAUUAAAAAAAAAACUUAUUUGUAGUUUAAAAGGUAAAAGAAUGAACUUAAAAAUAAGGGGGAAAAAAACUCAUUGAAAUUUUACUGACAAUUAUGUGUAGAAGAGCUCUUAUAAAGUUGUAAACACGAAUCACUAAUGGAUAUCUUUACUAUGAAACAAUAAUCAGUAACAUGAAAUAAUGACAAUAACAGUAAUCAUACUACAUAAAAGGACCGUGUCAUACAGUUUUGCUUGACAAAUAGUCUCCCCUUAAGUAUGACUGUUUGCAUUAGUGUAAUGUAUUUGGACUUAAAUUAGAUGGAUUGGGACUUUAGAGUUAUGUUUACUGCACUUUAUAAGUUGUUACGUUCGGUUAGUAGAGGAUUAGCUUGUUAGCACAACGUUUUUACAGGCAUUGAAGUGCUGUCUGUAAAAUAGAAAUAGUGAGUCGUGUCUCUGGCUUCCUCUGCUGGGCUCUGAGAGGUAUUGCAGGGCUCCAUUGGUGCGAGUUAUCACAGCCCUGCCAGCAUUACCCAGCCUCGAGCCGCACGUCUACUCAAACAACGUGGGUCUUAACCAUGACGUUUGCACUCCGUCUAAUAAGCUGUUGAGUGAAAUUCAACUUGUUUCUUAUGAUUCAUUUGAUUCAAUUCAACUUGUUUCUUAUGAUUCAUUUGGUAGUAUUCGGAUCUGGUGACCACAGGUGCUGACAGGCUACAUUAUGUAUUAGGUCACACACUGAGUGCUUGUCACGUACAUCACAGGCUCAGAGCGCUGAUUGGAGCUCAGACUCUCCCAGUCAGCAGAUAGGUACGACAACCGUCCCGACACACGCAGAUAUGAAUUAACCUGGAUAUUCUUGAUGUGCAAAGUUGCCAAACUAGUGAAACCUUGCGAGCUGGCCAGCAGUUCUGUGGAAUAAUGUGAAAAACGCAAAAUGAUUGUCCUCCCGCCCGCCUUUCCCUGACAGACCUCUACUUUCUGAAGGUCUGCCUUGUUUUUGUUCUGUUUUUUCUUCUCUAGAAAGGUAAAUGGUAGGUAAACAAUACUUAAACAAUGUAGCAAAGUCUCGGUACACUGGUGCCAGUAAGUUAUUACAAAACAAUAAAACCUGAAGUGAAAUGCC